GAUGAACGCUGGCGGCGUGCCUAAUACAUGCAAGUCGAGCGAACAGAUGAUGAGCUUGCUCCUCUGACGUUAGCGGCGGACGGGUGAGUAACACGUGGAUAACCUACCUAUAAGACUGGGAUAACUUCGGGAAACCGGAGCUAAUACCGGAUAAUAUAUUGAACCGCAUGGUUCAAUAGUUAAAGACGGUUUUGCUGUCACUUAUAGAUGGAUUCGGGCCGCAUUAGCUAGUUGGUAAGGUAACGGCUUACCAAGGCAACGAUGCGUAUCCGACCUGAGAGGGUGAUCGGCCACACUGGAACUGAGACACGGUCCAGACUCCUACGGGAGGCAGCAGUAGGGAAUAUUCCGCAAUGGGCGAAAGCCUGACGGAGCAACGCCGCGUGAGUGAAGAAGGUCUUCGGAUCGUAAAACUCUGUUAUUAGGGAAGAACAAAUGUGUAAGUAAAUAUGCACGUCUUGACGGUACCUAAUCAGAAAGCCACGGCUAACUACGUG
rnacentral:rRNA from 1 species